AUACGGAGGGUGCAAGCGUUAAUCGGAAUCGACCUGGGCGUAAAGCGCGCGUAGGCCGCCUUCUAAGUCGGACGUGAAAGCCCUCGGCUCAACCGAGGAACUGCGUUCGAAACUGGGAGGCUUGAGUCCUGGAGAGGGUGGCGGAAUUCCGGGUGUAGGAGUGAAAUCCGUAGAUAUCCGGAGGAACACCCGGUGGCGAAGGCGGCCACCUGGACAGGUACUGACGCUGAGGCGCGAAAGCGUGGGGAGC
rnacentral:rRNA from 1 species